AAACCAGACCAAGAUAGCCCCACAUUAAUCUCUUACAGUGAUAGAACCUAAAACCUAUUUUUGUAUCUCCUGUCACAGGGUGAGGCCCAAAACAAUAUCCGAGUCUACAUAACAACAAAAGAACCAUAAUAGAGAGCAAAUGCAACCAAUCAUAAAACCAGAACUGCCUUCCUAUUAAGCUUGAUUAAGAACCACAACAAAAUCAGGCAUCUGAAAGUUGGAGAGAAUAAGAAUAAGCACGGGAAAGUCUAGAUGAAAGAUAAAUUGUAGUAGAAAAAUUACUAUACUCCCUCUAACACUAUAUAAUUGACAGCGUCAAAGGUUGAUCUGUGGCCAAUAACUAGACCAAGUCUUGCACCACCUUAAGCACCUACAUUGAUAACAUACACGUAUGCGUAACAACAAAAAACUGUCACAGGGUGAGGCCCAAAACAAUAUCCGAGUCUACAUAACAACAAAAGAACUAUAAUAGAGAGAGCAAAUGCAACCAAACAUAAAACCAGAACUGCCUUCCAGUUAAGCUUGAUUAAGAGCCACACAACAAAAUCAGGCAUCUGAAAAUUGGAGAGAAUAAGAAUAAACACGGGAAAGUCUAGAUGAAAGAUAAAUUGUAGUAGAAAAAAUACUAAACUAUACUCCCUCUUGACACCCUCGAUGAACACUAUAUAAUUGACAGCGUCAAAGGUUGAUCUGUGGCCAAUAACUAGACCAAGAUUAGCACCACCUUAAACACCUAUAUUGAUAACAUACUCGUAUGCGUAACAAACAAAAUACUGAUGAAAGAGAGAAAAGACAAAACCAAGCCUCAAACCAGAAGUGCCUUCAAGUUAUGAACACCUAGAAAUUGAAGAGUAUUAACAAUAAGUACGGGAAACUCAAGGUAGAAGAGAAAACGUAAAAGGAAAAAUACUAUUCUGCACUCCAUGUGCCACCCUCAACAAACAUUAUAUCAAUGACGGCAUCAAAGAUUAGUCCGUAUCCAAAAACCAGACCAAGAUACUAAGUUGAUAGAAUAAAAUUUAUAUUGUCUCCUGUCACAGGGUGAGGCCCAAAACAAUAUCCAAGUCCACAUAACAACAAAUAAACUAUAAUUACAGAGCAAAGGUGACCAAUUAUUAAACCAGAAAAGCCUUCCCGUGAAGCUUGAUUAAGAACCACACAGCGAUCAGGCAUCUGGAAAUUGAUGAGAACAACGGUAAGCAAGGCAAACUCUAGGUACAAGAGAAAAUGUGGUAGAAAAAAAAACUAUAUGUACUCCCUUUUCCACGCACGAUUAACACUAUAUCAAUAACAACAUUAAAGAUUUGUCUGUGUCCAAAAACCAGACCAAGAAAGCCCCCACCUUAAGUUCCUACUUUGAUAGAAUCAGAACAUACAAGUCAACAUAACAACAAAAGAACUAUAAUAGAGAGAGAGCAAAGGUAACCAAUCAUCAAACCCGAACUGCCUUCCAGUUAAGCUUGAUUAAGAACCAAAAACGAUCAGGCAUCUGAAAAUUGGAGAGAAUAACAACAAUAAG
rnacentral:lncRNA from 1 species